rnacentral:rRNA from 1 species
UUUAUUGGAGAGUUUGAUCCUGGCUCAGGAUGAACGCUGGCGGCGUGCCUAAUACAUGCAAGUCGAGCGAAUGGAUUGAGAGCUUGCUCUCAAGAAGUUAGCGGCGGACGGGUGAGUAACACGUGGGUAACCUACCCAUAAGACUGGGAUAACUCCGGGAAACCGGGGCUAAUACCGGAUAACAUUUUGAACUGCAUGGUUCGAAAUUGAAAGGCGGCUUCGGCUGUCACUUAUGGAUGGACCCGCGUCGCAUUAGCUAGUUGGUGAGGUAA